rnacentral:rRNA from 1 species
UACAGAGGUCUCAAGCGUUGUUCGGAUUCAUUGGGCGUAAAGGGUGUGUAGGUGGCGCCGUAAGUCGGGUGUGAAAUUUCGGAGCUUAACUCCGAAACUGCAUUCGAUACUGCGGUGCUUGAGGACUGGAGAGGAGACUGGAAUUCAUGGUGUAGCAGUGAAAUGCGUAGAGAUCAUGAGGAAGACCAGUGGCGAAGGCGGGUCUCUGGACAGUUCCUGACACUGAGUGAGCGAAAGCCAGGGGAGCAAACGGG